CACCUUGGCGCCAAGAUGUACCGUCGUUGAACAACUAUUUAAUGAACGUGUGCGAUGUGCUAAGCCCUGUGAAGAUACUGCGGCUGCUGGGUUAUAAUAGCUACUUCGGAAUACUCAUUAGGUCUUACGGGGUUCACUUCCCAGAAAUAUCUCUCUAAUUCAACUCCCAAGGCCAGAACGAAUGAUGCUCACAAAGAACUAGGAAGAGACUUAGUCAUGUUGCACAGUCGGAGGAUAAAACAAUAUGCAAACGUGAGGCCUUUCAACAAAGUGCUUUAUUGGAGGACACAGGGUUCUUGUGUUCGCUGUUAUACGGGGCCUUUGAAAAGCACAUGGCAGCAUUGCGGUCGCAGUUGCAGAUGAAGGCCUCGCAGGGUUUGUUUUUGUCUGGAAAAGAGCAAGAGGAGAGGACUGAGCCAAGGUAGAUCCUGCGUUGUCCAAUCGGGGGCAGGAGGAAUGAGCUGGAAUAAUGGCCACUGCAUUUAUACAGAUUUAGGUUUGACAGAUCAAGUAAAUAAAAGAUACCAAAAUUUCAGAUAAACAAAAAAAAUACAGU